rnacentral:lncRNA from 1 species
CAGGUGUGGAAGGGCCAACUCCUGACCUUGGCAGACAAGGUCAGAGGAAGUGUUGGAGCCUUCAGAGUGGAGCAGGACCAGAGCACAGCUGGGAUGAAGGGACAGCACAGGCACAUGGGCAACAUCCUUCCCUUCCUUAGCAAUCACAAUGCCUGCCCUUGAUGUGGUUUGUCCCUUUCUGUUGCUUCCUCUUACCCACCCCAACCCCUUUGCAUUCCUGGCUGAUAACACUGAUGAUUUUUCAUGCCAAGGUCUUCAAGGAGUCAGGUGUAGAGGAAACCUCCCUGGAAUAAAUAUUGUGCUCACGUAUAAAAAGGAAGAGUUCAGUCACUCCUCCUGCAGGGUGGGCAGGAUCAUGAACCUUGUCUUGGUUGGAGAGUGAGCAGGAGAAGUGUGUACUGAACCUUGAUGAGACCAAAAGGUCUCUCUGCUCACAGGAAUGAGGGGUGGUUCUCUCCUGUGCCUCUCAGGAAACACAUUUUCUCUAGGCAAAUCUGUGCUGCCCUGGCCUAUGCUGGGACACCUGGGGACACUUGGCCAGGCCUGAGAGGAGCCUCCCUGCAGCUGUGCCCAGCCUGCCCAGCCCUGAUGAUUUACAUGUGCCCACAGCACAGUCCACUG